rnacentral:lncRNA from 1 species
GUACAGAGGUCAUUUCAAGAAAGAAGAGACACCAAACACAACAUAAAGGGACUUUUCAUGUCUGGAGAUACUAGAAUUUCAGGUUUUAUUGCUGCGAGUUCUAUUAAAAGACUUUGUGGAACCUAGGAGGAAAUCAAAAUUAUCUUUCAAAAGGCGAUAAGUUAUAUAAAUAUGUGCACAAACAGAAAUGUGUCUCUGAAGGUAUUAGUUCUGCAUAAUUUCAGAUGAGUAGCUACUAGGCCUCAAAGGAAACAGCGCAUCUUGAAAUGCUCUGAAGGCUUACACUGGCCAAAAGAAGGCAGGACUUUAGCGAAAUUAGAAGUAACUUUGUAGCCAACGAUGUGCUGUAUGUCCUGGUUCCCUUUAAUAGCAUUAGGCGUUCAGACCAUAAAGACUAAUCUGGAGAGUAGAAGUUCCUGCUCUCUGCUUUGAUCUCCUUCCUCUUGGCUGUUUAAAGCUGACAGUUUGGCUGAAUGGCAUUCACCGCUUUCAUUUGUAAGACACGAGUUUCCUAGUGUUCCAGAGCUAGCAGCUACACCUGUACCGCAGGAAUUUACAUCGCAUUGCUCCAGGAUGGCAUUGAUUUGGGACGGGCGAAAUACAAACACAAACUAAUUAAAACCUGCAUAAUGCGGCCCUACAGGAACAAGACAGAAAAACAAAUAAAUACAACUGCAGCUGGCAGGGCAAUUGUGCCUCUGCCCUCGAGCAACAGUCUGGUGACAUCAAAUUACAAACCUUAAAAAUCUCCCGUAAUUGCAGUUGAUCAUUUCGGAGACAAAAUGGAAAUUGUGCUGUUAAUUAAGUUCGGAUCCGUAAAAUAUUCAUGAUAGGUGGGCAGACGGACGGACAGGCAGAUAGCGAGAGGUGGAUGAUUCAUCCUAUAGGUUUGUCGGCUUGUUUAUACAGGCCCGUGUGCAGAGCUCAAACAAUUCAUAUGCAAAAGCGCUAAGGAAGAGCUCCGCGUUCCCCUUGCUAUCAGAAAUAAAUACGUGUUGCAACUGAUAAAGGACUAAUCAGAACACACUACCGGGAUACUGGGAAAAAAAGAACAGUUUUUCUUAGUUUGCUAAAAUAUAUAGAUAGAGAGAGAAAUGACCGUAAUAUUUGUAAUGCCCUCUUUGUCUGAAUAACACCGUCUUUGUAAACGCUUUAUCAGCUGUUACCCCGAGUGCAGUCAAACGUUUCGGACUUCGAUCCCUCCCUGCACUACCCAUACCUACGUGCUCGCUUUUAGGGAAUCCACCAGAUUCCCUCCUGCGCGUUCUUUCCACGGGAAAGAAAAUUGACACUGUCCAAUAACCGAAGUGAUCAUCUGAAAUCUCUUCGUCUGCUACCGGUGCGAGCUCAAAACCCAGAGAGGAUUUGCAGGAGAACUCGUUGCCAGGAUGUUUCAAAGAAUUAAAGGAAAACUUUUUUUCUUCCCCAGCCCUAAACCAGGCGCUGUAGCGCUUAAGCUUCCCUUUCUUUUGGGUCGAUCUUUAUGAGGAGCGCCGCUUUUUGCUCGCAGCUCCGUGCGCACGUGUAUCCCUAUGCAGAUACAGCGCAAAAUGCGUGGAAAUAACGCGGCUGAAGCCUAGCUUAAUAGAUAUCUCAGCUCCAUUCUCAAAUUGUGCUCUGCUCAGUAUCUUAUCCUCCCCGUAGUUAGGUGUCUCCUUUCAACGUCUCUGUCAUCUCCAUUUGAAGAUAUUUUCAGCGGUUUAUCACUGCCAUCUCCAGCCCUGCACAUUUGCAGCAGGUUAUCACAAUUGCCAGUCCCCUCUGGCUGAUGUGUUGUGCUGAUUACCAUCAGUGCCCUGAGAUAUUUGGUGCGGAUUCCCAGCACUGCAAUAUCCACUCUUAGGACAUCUGGAGCAGAUCAAAAUCACUGACUUCAUUUUUUUAGUAGAGUCAGUGUUCGAGCUCCGCAGCCCCUUUGCAGACAUCGCCUUCAGUCAGUUCCUGCAGAACCAGCCUUUGGUUAAAAUUCGGCCAAGCAGCGACCCCUAUGUCUGGAUUUGCAUUUCUUAUCGGACCCCUAUCUCAACUGAUUUGUUCAUAAUAAAAAGAAAAUCUCUUGGCAGCAAAUGCAUCGCCUUAAGAAACUGGAAGGAGCCCACUGUCUUAGCUAACCGCUUCUCGAGAAAGGCUCUUUAAGGAGAACUUUAUCUACCCGAUGAUCUCUGAAUUAUACGAGCGUGGCCAUUUAGGUCGAUUUACUUUAAACAGCAUACAAUUUAUUUUAAGCGAUUACCUCAGGUGUAAUCACAUUACACCCAGCGCCGCUAUCUAUUUCUCUCCCGCUUGUUUUCAGACGGGCGCCCGCUCUCCAGCGGAAAGGUGACAGUGUCCCACUCUGAUCCCAGUUCCUCCUUCGCUACGGGACUCCUCGGUGCUAAUGAGUUGGAACCGCGCUCCUUUUCCUUAGGAUCUGCCGAAAGUUAAGGAGACAUUGGAGCAACUAAAACACGGGGCUCAGGAAAAAGAAAAAUAAUAAUAAUUAGAAGGAAGAAACUGCAUAUAUAUCUAUAACCCGAAUUAUGUUUAAAAUCACAGUAUUCCAUCUCUUGAAAAUUUCAAGCAAAUUUAUGGGGAGAGGAGUGAUCACACCAACCUUCUGGACUGUUUAGCUUUAGGGAAAGGUUUUCCCCAUGCUUCCGGCAGCAGCUGAUGUUGUUUUCAGUUUCCCAUACAGUUUAGUUCUUUGCGCACUUUUCUGAUUAAGCUCCAGCUAUUGGUCCUGUAUGGGGAGGAGGGGGGAAGAAAGGGGAAGGGGGGGAUAAACCCAGGAUCUACAGACCUUCGCUAAACUGAUUUUCAACCUAAGUAGCUUAGUGCAGCGGCUCUAGUCCCUGCUUACUUGCACAAGGGGAAAAAAAUUAAAAAGGCUUCGAAAGGUUUCCUGAUAAAGUGAUUUAAUAACCCGUCAGGAAAACGGGCACUGUCCAAUACAGGAGCGGGAGCUGCGCGCUGAGGGAUUCGCCUUUACUGAGCACAGCGUAAUGAAUGGCGCUCGCAGGACCCCGCUCGUUACCCCGCGCCGGGAACUUUGCAAAUGAGGAACAAAGGUCUCCUCCCAGCCCUGCAACUUUUCCCCUCCUCGGCGGGUUCCCUUUCUUUUUCUUUCUUAAUUUCAUCAUUCCUAUUUUGUCCUCUUUCUUUCUUUCUUUUCUUUUUCUUUUUUUCUUUUUCUUUCUUUUUUUCAUCUUUCCAAAACCACUGCUCUAGGUAUCCCGCACUUUCUUUACUUGCUCUGUUUCCAGGUGAAGAAUAGCAGAGUUCGCCCCAAAAGAUUUUGGGCUGAUAGAAAAGCAAGCGAUACUUUUUUUUUUUUUUUUUUUUUCCUUUUCCUUUUGAGCAGGAUGGGGGCGGAUGGGGGAGGGGAUGACUCACAUUUCUUAAGCCUCGGAGUGGAAACCUUCUCUGGAUUCCACCCAGAUCUAAAGCGCUAAGAAGAUUUCGGCAGCGGCAGUGCAUUCUCCCACCUUCCUUUACCUGCAGCCCUUGUAACGCGACUCUGCCAGCCGCCAAACCUCGCUACAGUUCCCAAGAACCACUCAGCUUUGUCUGAGGGUCGCUCUCCUGCUCUGAGGGGCGGCCGAGCCCCUCGGUCCCUCCUCGAGG